rnacentral:rRNA from 1 species
GACGAACGCUGGCGGCGUGCUUAACACAUGCAAGUCGAGCGGUAAGGCCCUUUCGGGGGUACACGAGCGGCGAACGGGUGAGUAACACGUGGGUGACCUGCCCUCAGCUCUGGGAUAAGCCUGGGAAACCGGGUCUAAUACCGGAUAUGACUCCAUGACGCAUGUUGUGGGGUGGAAAGCCUUGUGCGGCUGAGGAUGGGCCCGCGGCCUAUCAGCUUGUUGGUGGGGUGAUGGGCCUACCAAGGCGACGACGGGUAGCCGGCCUGAGAGGGCGACCGGCCACACUGGGACUGAGACACGGCCCAGACUCCUACGGGAGGCAGCAGUGGGGAAUCUUGCGCAAUGGGCGAAAGCCUGACGCAGCGACGCCGCGUGAGGGAUGACGGCCUGGUGUAA